rnacentral:rRNA from 1 species
UUGUAGGUGAACCUGCGGAAGGAUCAUUAC